GAAAAGACGAGAUCAUGCGUGAUAUUCGCUCCAUUGCUGGGGAAAAAAGUAGAUAAGUGGAGUGAAGAGAGAGAAAAAAGAGUCGCAGCUCCAGAGAGAGAAAGAUGGUGAACUGUUUACAAUAGCUGCAAGCAAGUACUUCUCCAAUGCGAUCGCCGAAGAUCUAGCUCUUUUUUUUUCCAUUUAUUUUCUGGUAAUUUUUGGUUGACUACUUUUUAAAUUUUGAGAUUUGAGCUGAAAGAACAGUUGGAAUUUAUUUGAUUUUCUGAGAGGACAUAACUGGUAGAGGAGGAGCAGAUUAUGGCAGACUUGGAAAACUUGCUACUGGAGGCAGCUGGAAGAACUGGAGGAUCAGGUAGAAGUAGGCACUCGGCUCCUUCAUCAAGAAGACGGCGUGAAAAUGCCUAUUCAGAUGAUGGGAGCGACUCUAAGGAUGAGGAUUCGGAUGACAAUCGGGGUUAUAGGGGAAGGAAGUCCAACGGGCCGCAACCCCCGCUAAAGAAGAGGGGCAAUGACAGAGAUGCCGAUCAGGGCAGCCAGGAUGACGAGGAGGGCGAGGAAGGUUCUGGUCGUGGGGGUGGAAGUGGAGAUGAUUCUGAUGUUGGGAGUGAUCUCUACAAGGACGAAGAUGACAGACAACAGCUAGCUCAGUUGACUGAACUUGAAAGGGAGUUGAUCUUAUCUGAUCGAGCAACGAAACUUGAUGAUAAGAAAUUGCAUGAGAGAGUUAAAUCAAGGUGGAAGAAUGACAGUAAGCCUCAACCUAAGAGGGAGAGCACCCCUCCUUUAGCUUCUUCUCGUGAGCCUCGUGGGGUCCGCACAUCUGCGAGGUCUGCAGGCCGAGCAUCUCAUAAGGCUGAUGCUUUGAAUGAGUUACGAGCAAAGCGGAUGAGGCAACAAGGAAUAGAUGCAGCUAGAGAUCGGUCUGGGUCCCGAGGUUACUCACCUGUUAAAAGAAAAGCCUUUUCUGCUGCUGGUUUGAGCAGCUCAAGCCAGAGUGAUAGUGAAAGUGACUCUCAAAGUGAAGAUGGUAGAUCAAAGAGAGGUGGGAGAAUGGAUGAUAGUGAUGAUGAGAUGUCCAAGCCUAAGUCGAACAUCCCCACGUAUGAAGACGUUAAGGGAAUUACAAUUAGAAGGUCAAAAUUAGCAAAGUGGUUUAUGGAGCCUUUUUUUGAGGAGUUGAUUGUUGGUUGUUUUGUAAGAGUAGGUAUUGGUAUGAAGUCUGGGCAAAGCAUCUACAGGUUAUGCAUUAUCCGGAAUGUAGAUGCGUCAGACCCUGAUAAGCAAUAUAAGCUGGAAAACAAGAUGACUCACAAGUACUUGAACUGUGUAUGGGGUAGUGAAAGCUCUGCUGCUAGAUGGCAGAUGGCUAGAAUUUCUGACUCUCCUCCUAUUGAAGAAGAGUAUAACCAGUGGAAGAAAGAGGUGGAACGCACCAGCGGAAGAAUGCCCACAAGGCAUGAAGUUGCAGAAAAGAAGGAAGAAAUCGAAAGAACAAACACGUUUGUUUACUCUGCAGAAACUGUGAAACAUAUGUUACAGGAGAAGAAAUCAGCUGCAACAAGGCCCUUGAACAUUGCAGCUGAAAAGGAAAAGCUUAAAAGAGAAAUGGAAGCAGCAAAAUACAGGAAUGAUGAAGUUCAGGUGGAGAAAAUCAAGGCUAGAUUAGAGGAACUUGCGGCUGUACGGUUAGCUCAGGAUAACAAAAAUUCAAAGGCGCACAGGCUAUCAGAUAUGAAUAGAAAGAAUAGAGUUGAAAACUUCAAGAAUGCAUCAGAAGUGAAACCCAUGAACGCUAACCUGAAAUCGGGAGAAGCUGGGUAUGAUCCCUUCUCUAGGAGGUGGACUAGGUCUAUUAAUUAUUAUUCUGCAGGUGAUAAAAAGAAAGCAGCUGGUGAAGCUGGAGAAAGUGGUGAUGGCAAUAAUGGAGGAGAGAAACCUGGAGUUGUUGCCACGGAAACAGCCUUAGAGGCCGCGGCUGAUGCAGGGAAGUUGGUGGAUACAAUGGCACCUGUUGAUCAAGGGACAGAAUUUAAUCUGCUGCACAAUUUCGACCUACCAAUUUCGUUGAACAUGUUGCAGAGAUUUGGUGGAGCACAGGGUGUUUUAUCAGGGUUUAUGGCUAGGAAGCAAAAGAUUGAGGCAUCAAUGGGACUUCAAAUCCCAGAGAAUGAUGGUCGUAGACAUGCAUUGACUCUGUCAGUGAGCGACUACAAGAGGCGAAGAGGACUGCUGUGAAUUUAUAUAAAUCUUGGUAUUUGUUCCUGUUGGAUAUUUGAGUUAUAAUAUACUCAGGAAAGAACCCAGAUGGGUUGGUGGGUUGUCCAACCACUGUCAUGGUUUUCUUAAAGACAUGCUAAAGAUUAACGAAGAUGCUAAAGAUGUGAAAUGCAGGAAAUAUAUGCUUCAUACGUAAACACAAGGCCCUAUGUCCCCUGACUUGAAUUGAGGAAGUAUAUGCAGGAACUUGGAUGCUUCAGUAUAAGCAUAUAUAUCCGCGACUGAACUAAAGCCCUUUUCACUCUGUUAUAACUAGGGGUGAGCACAACAGGGUACCCUGUUGAAAUUCCAGGAACCGGAACCGGAACCUGUUGCAACAGGUUCCUUAAAAUGAGAACCGGAAUCGGAACCUGUUGCAACAGGUUCCUGAAAAUGAGAACCUGAACCGGAACCUGUUGCAACAGGUUCCGAUUCAGGGUACCCUGUAAUUUUGAAAAUUUAAGUAAAAUAUUUAUAUUUUAUUGAAAAACUAUCUACUUUAUGGUU